rnacentral:rRNA from 1 species
AGAUUGAACGCUGGCGGCAUGCCUUACACAUGCAAGUCGAGCGGCAGCACGGGAGCAAUCCUGGUGGCGAGUGGCGAACGGGUGAGUAAUACAUCGGAACGUGCCCAAUCGUGGGGGAUAACGCAGCGAAAGCUGUGCUAAUACCGCAUAAGAUCUACGGAUGAAAGCAGGGGAUCGCAAGACCUUGCGCGAAUGGAGCGGCCGAUGGCAGAUUAGGUAGUUGGUGAGGUAAAGGCUCACCAAGCCUUCGAUCUGUAGCUGGUCUGAGAGGACGACCAGCCACACUGGGACUGAGACACGGCCCAGACUCCUAGGGAGGCAGGCAGUGGGGAAUUUGGACAAGUGGGCGAAAGCCUGAUCCAGCCAUGACCGCGUCGCAGGAUAGAACGGUCCGUUCGGGUUAGUAAACGUUGUACGUUUUUA